rnacentral:other from 1 species
UACUGCCUGCGGUGUUGGUGAACUUCGAGUUUAAUUCGAACCGAACACCAAUUCACAUUGGGAGCCUAAAAUUAGAACACGUACAGCAUGCCUGGUUAAUGGUACGUUCAGUACUUCGGCAGGAAGCUGGAAAUGUUUUUGAAGGCACCCACCUGCCUAGUGCGGGUUCGUGAAAUCUGGAAGAUAACCGCAUUGCGGGCAAACC